CGGGACGGGUGAGUAACGCGUGGGCAACCUGCCCCGCACUGGGGGACAACAGCUGGAAACGGCUGCUAAUACCGCAUAGGCGCACAGCCUCACAUGAGGCAGUGUGGAAAACUCCGGUGGUGCGGGAUGGGCCCGCGUCUGAUUAGCUGGUUGGCGGGGUAACGGCCCACCAAGGCAACGAUCAGUAGCCGGCCUGAGAGGGUGGACGGCCACAUUGGGACUGAGACACGGCCCAGACUCCUACGGGAGGCAGCAG
rnacentral:rRNA from 1 species